rnacentral:rRNA from 1 species
CCUACGGGAUGCAGCAGUGGGGAAUAUUGGGCAAUGGGCGCAAGCCUGACCCAGCAACGCCGCGUGAAGGAAGAAUGCUCUCGGGUUGUAAACUCCUUUUUUUCGGGAAGCGUAGACGACGGUACCUGACGAAUAAGCCACGGCUAACUACGGGCCAGCAGCCGCGGUAAUACGUAGGUGGCAAGCGUUGUCCGGAUUUCCUGGGUGUAAAGGGCGUGUAGCCGGGUUGACAAGGCAGAUGUGAAAUCCUGGGGUUUAAACGCAGAACUGCAUUUGAAACUGUGGAUCUUGUGUACUGGAGAGGCAGACGGAAUGCGUGGUGUAGCGGUGAAAUGCGUAGAUAUUAGGAGGAACACCAGUGGCGAAGGCAGUCUGCUGGACAGCAACUGACGGUGAGGCGCGAAAGCGUGGGGAGCGAACAGGAUUAGAUACCCUAGUAGUC